UAAAACAACAAAACAUGUCACGGAAGAAAUCAUAUUUUCCAGAGUGAAGUGGAGGAAUCAGAUGUGACUGUCUGUGGGACACGAACUAACCUGGGAGAGGCGACCCUAUUUCCUGAUUUAGGCUUUUCCCUGGUCAAUCUCCCACUGUGACCUCAGAGACCAUAAAUGAUCUUUGUUUUCUUCAGAGAAGAACAAGGAGGUAGUUGAUUUAGAGGCUGCUGGACUGGUCCAAUUUUCAGAACAAGUGAUUUAUUGUGGAUCUUCCAGAAUUGCUCUUUUAAUAAGUUUUCUUUUGUUUUUAAGGAAGAGCCAUGAUAAGUGGGAUUUCUGGUCCUCUGACCAAGCAGAUGAAAAUUACCAAAGGACAAGCAACACCGGCUUUCCGAAUCCCACUUCUGCCCAGAAGAAGAAGAAGAAGAAAAUUGGAUUCUGCUGAAAUCUAAGAAGGACACAGAGCUGCAGUGUUGUUUUGUUCCCGUUGAAGGGGAAUGUGUCCAGAGUAAGAAGGAGGAGAAGAAGCAGCUCCAAAAUUUCCAUCCCAUAUUCAAACCAGAAUGCCAGAAUCUUCACAAGAUUGUAUUGCAAGGUGAACUUCAUCAAUCAGUUGGAAGCCUUAAGAGCAAAGACAGGUUUCCCAAAGAAGGAAUUGAGCUUCACAGCUGCAACACAGAAAUUCUGCCCAAGGUUCCAACAUACCUGGCCUGCCCUGUAGAAUUCGCACUCAAGAUUGCAACACCGACUCUUAGCUGAAUAUCCAGCCUGCCAGUCUGCCCUGCAAAUUUCAAACUUUCCAACCCCCAUAAUCACUUGAGCAUAAAAUAAAAUAAAAUGUCUGAAAAUAAAAUAGAAUUCCUUAAAAUAAAAUAAGAUAUUGGUUCUUUUUCUUUGGAGAACUCUAAUACAAACAGGAAGAUAAAUCUUCUCUCCUCAUCCAUUAAGUCAUA
rnacentral:lncRNA from 1 species